UAAAGGUUAGUUAGCCGAGGAGUAGGU
rnacentral:piRNA from 1 species